AGCAGCCGCGGUAAUUCCAGCUCCAAUAGCGUAUAUUAAAGUUGUUGCAGUUAAAAAGCUCGUAGUUGAAUUUCGGGGUUAGUAGGUUGGUCAUGCCUCUGGUAUGUACUGGUCUCACUGAUUCCUCCUUCUUUAUGAACCGUAAUGCCAUUAAUUUGGUGUUGCGGGGAAUUUGGACUGUUACUUUGAAAAAAUUAGAGUGUUUAAAGCAAGCUAACGCUUGAAUACAUUAGCAUGGAAUAAUGAAAUAGGACGUUCGAUCUUAUUUUGUUGGUUUCUAGGAUUUGACGUAAUGAUUAAUAGGGAUAGUUGGGGGCAUUAGUAUUCAAUUGUCAGAGGUGAAAUUCUUGGAUUUAUUGAAGACUAACUACUGCGAAAGCAUUUGCCAAGGAUGUUUUCAUUAAUCAAGAACGAAAGUUAGGGGAUCGAAGACGAUCAGAUACCGUCGUAGUCUUAACCAUAAACCUAUGCCGACUAGGGAUCGGAUGAUGUUAAUUUUUAAUGACUCAUUUCGGCGCCU
rnacentral:rRNA from 1 species